rnacentral:sRNA from 16 species
UUGACACUAAGGGCGGAGUGACAUAAUUUCAGGAGUGAGGGUUAGGGAGAAGUUUCCCCCUCCCCCUGGUGUUCUUAGUAAGCCUGGAAGCUAAUCACUAAGAGUAUCACCAGUAUGAUGACGUGCUUCAUCAUAACCCUUUCCUUAUU